GGUUCUGUAGCUCAGUCGGUUAGAGCAUCUGACUGUUAAUCAGAGGGUCGCUGGUUCGAGUCCAGCCGGGACCG
rnacentral:tRNA from 1 species